rnacentral:lncRNA from 1 species
CCAUUGUAUUGGAAAUUACGUGCGUUGUUUGGCAUUCCGUAGUUAUUGGGAGGCACUCCACCCAUGUUUGGUGGCAUAUUCGGCUGCUGCAUCCCACCUCCACGGGGUGGCCCUCUCAUGUCCGGCUGCUGCAUCCCGCCUGCAUGAGGUGGUGGCCCUCCAUAGCCUUGCUGCUGGUGCAUCCCGCCUGCAUGAGGUGGUGGCCCUCCCAUGCCUUGCUGCUGGUGCAUUCCACCCAUGUUAGGUUGCUGCAUGCCGCCCAUGUUGGGAGGCCCCCCUGCUGCCAUGUUAGAUCCAGGGUUCUGACUGGGUUGAUUCUGCAUCUCUCUUCUUCUCUCAAAGU